GAGUUGUUGCCCGAGUGGUUAAUGGGAGCGGAUUGUAAAUCCGUUGGUUAUCCUUCGCUGGUUCGAAUCCAGCACAACUCA
rnacentral:tRNA from 1 species